AGAUGAGGCUGCUCAGUACCUGUGUCAAGAUGGCUUUUGAAGAUCUCCAAGGAUGCAGACUCCACCACCUCUCUGGGCAAGCUGUGCCAGUGCUGUCACCUGCAGAGUAAAGAAUUGCUUUCUGGUGUUCAGAAGGCGUCUC